rnacentral:rRNA from 1 species
GCAUAUCAAUAAGCGGAGGAGAAGAAACUAACAAGGAUUCCCCUAGUAACGGCGAGCGAAGCGGGAAGAGCUCAAAUUUGAAAGCUGGCACCUUUGGUGUCCGCGUUGUAAUCUCGAGACGUGUUUUCCGUGUGGCGCUAUGGACAAGUCCCUUGGAACAGGGCAUCGUAGAGGGUGAAAAUCCCGUACUUGCCAUGGAUGUACCAUGCUUUGUGAUACACGCUCUAAGAGUCGAGUUGUUUGGGAUUGCAGCUCAAAAUGGGUGGUAGACUCCAUCUAAAGCUAAAUAUCGGGGAGAGACCGAUAGCGAACAAGUACCGUGAGGGAAAGAUGAAAAGCACUUUGGAAAGAGAGUUAAAAGUACGUGAAAUUGUCGAAAGGGAAGCGCUUGAAGUCAGCCAUGCUGCUUGAGACUCAGCCUUGCUUUUGCUUGGUGUAUUUCUCGGUAGCAAGCCAGCAUUGGUUUGAGUCGUCGGAGAAGGGUACGAGGAAUGUGGCAUCUUCGGAUGUGUUAUAGACUUGUACUGGAUACGACGAUUUGGAUCAAGGAACGCAGUGUGCCUCUGGCGGGUCUUCGGACACCUUCACACUUAGGAUGCUGGCGUAAUGGCUUUAAGCGGCCCGUCUUGAAACACGGACCAAGGAGUCUAACAUAUGUGCGAGUUUUUGGGUGGCAAACCCAUAAGCGUAAUGAAAGUGAAUGCAGGUGGGAUCCUUUGGAGCACCAUCGACCGGCCCUGAUCUUCUGGGAUGGGUCCGAGUAAGAGCAUGUAUGUUGGGACCCGAAAGAUGGUGAACUAUGCCUGAAUAGGGCGAAGCCAGAGGAAACUCUGGUGGAGGCUCGCAGCGGUUCUGACGUGCAAAUCGAUCGUCAAAUUUGGGUAUAGGGGCGAAAGACUAAUCGAACCAUCUAGUAGCUGGUUCCUGCCGAAGUU